UACGAAGGGGGCUAGCGUUGUUCGGAAUUACUGGGCGUAAAGCGUGCGCAGGCGGUGAUGUAAGACCGAUGUGAAAUCCCCGGGCUUAACCUGGGAACUGCAUUGGUGACUGCAUUGCUAGAGUAUGGCAGAGGGGGGUGGAAUUCCACGUGUAGCAGUGAAAUGCGUAGAGAUGUGGAGGAACACCGAUGGCGAAGGCAGCCCCCUGGGCCAAUACUGACGCUCAUGCACGAAAGGCGUGGGGAGCAAACAGG
rnacentral:rRNA from 1 species